AUCCUGACAGAGAGUGAUGAAACUCCAGCCAAUUGUACAACUGUUGUUGUCAACAAAGACUUGUCUGUGUACCUUCAACUCCAAGGAGAUUUAAAUGCAGAUGCUGAGCGUGAAAAGCUAAGGAAGAAAAAAUGAAAUUCAAAAGCUACAAAAUGCACUGGCACAGAAAAUGGACGCCUCUGGGUAUCGCGAGAAGGCUCCACAGAGCGUGCAGGAGGAGGACAUGAGAAAGCUCACCGCUUUGUUGGAAUAACUAGAGGUCAUCAGUGAAGCUGAGAAGAAAUUAGACUCAAACAGAGUCUGUACCGAAGUUGGUCCCCACAUUUUUCUUGUUUGCAAAAAGCUCAGCUAAUGUUCCUGUUUGCUCAGGUUUUCAAUUGAUGAUUCAGAUGGAAGCCACACUUUUGCAGCGUGUAAGAAUAUUCACUGGCUGUACAGAACCAUAUUUUUGGGUGUUCGAUUUUGUCAAGUUAUAAACUUCUGAUGA